GGGGAAUUUUGGACAAUGGGCGAAAGCCUGAUCCAGCAAUGCCGCGUGCAGGAUGAAGGCCUUCGGGUUGUAAACUGCUUUUGUACGGAACGAAAAGGCUCUGGCUAAUACCUGGGGCACAUGACGGUACCGUAAGAAUAAGCACCGGCUAACUACGUGCCAGCAGCCGCGGUAAUACGUAGGGUGCGAGCGUUAAUCGGAAUUACUGGGCGUAAAGCGUGCGCAGGCGGUUUUGUAAGACAGAGGUGAAAUCCCCGGGCUCAACCUGGGAACUGCCUUUGUGACUGCAAGGCUAGAGUGCGUCAGAGGGAGGUGGAAUUCCGCGUGUAGCAGUGAAAUGCGUAGAGAUGCGGAGGAACACCGAUGGCGAAGGCAGCCUCCUGGGAUGACACUGACGCUCAUGCACGAAAGCGUGGGGAGCAAACA
rnacentral:rRNA from 1 species